rnacentral:lncRNA from 1 species
AUCUUGUGCCUCGGGAUUCCGGUGAUGCUUUGGGCUAUCUCAGAAUUUAGGUUUUCCACUAACGAAUCCGAGGAGAUCACGAGUUUCGUGAUCGAGGCUUUCUAUCUUGCUUGUGGUAAUUUGUGAUGGACUAGUUGGAGCAUCCCUGCAGGGUUAAAUCUUCCACAAAGUCGUGCGCGCGGUUAUGUGACAACUUGGAAACUUUGUUUAACAUACGGUUCUAGAUAACUUAAAGUAAGCUUAAUUAAAAUAUGCCAACUCUAUGCGUAACCGUGGCUGUCUCUUCUCGUGAAUUCUGUAUCCGGAAGAGGAUACGAUGGGUUUAUGUCUGACGUAUGUAGGUGUUCAGGAUCAUUCAUUUGAUCAUCAGUAGUUCACGUUCGCUAUGCGUAGAUUAUCCCCCUCUUUUAUUCUUGUACUUGUAAAUUAGCCACCUCAAAUAA